rnacentral:rRNA from 1 species
UACAGAGGGUGCGAGCGUUAAUCGGAGUUACUGGGCGUAAAGGGCGCGUAGGCGGUUUGUUAAGUCAGUUGUGAAAGCCCAGGGCUCAACCUUGGAACUGCAAUUGAUACUGGCCGACUCGAGUCGAAGAGAGGGAAGCGGAAUUUCCGGUGUAGCGGUGAAAUGCGUAGAUAUCGGAAGGAACACCCGUGGCGAAGGCGGCUUCCUGGCUUCAGACUGACGCUGAGGCGCGAAAGCGUGGGUAGCGAACAGG